rnacentral:rRNA from 1 species
AUUGAACGCUGGCGGCAGGCCUAACACAUGCAAGUCGAGCGGAUGAAGGGAGCUUGCUCCUGGAUUCAGCGGCGGACGGGUGAGUAAUGCCUAGGAAUCUGCCUGGUAGUGGGGGAUAACGUCCGGAAACGGGCGCUAAUACCGCAUCCGUCCUGAGGGAGAAAGUGGGGGAUCUUCGGACCUCACGCUAUCAGAUGAGCCUAGGUCGGAUUAGCUAGUUGGUGGGGUAAAGGCCUACCAAGGCGACGAUCCGUAACUGGUCUGAGAGGAUGAUCAGUCACACUGGAACUGAGACACGGUCCAGACUCCUACGGGAGGCAGCAGUGGGGAAUAUUGGACAAUGGGCGAAAGCCUGAUCCAGCCAUGCCGCGUGUGUGAAGAAGGUCUUCGGAUUGUAAAGCACUUUAAGUUGGGAGGAAGGGCAGUAAGUUAAUACCUUGCUGUGUUGACGGUACCAACAGAAUAAGCACCGGCUAACUUCGUG